AAAAUUUACAGCAGCCAAAACUUUCUACAAACCUCCGAUUACUUCCCUGUUUUAAAGUUCAAUUAUUUCGAAUUGCAGCAGAAAAUGGUCAUUUUUAGGAAAUAAAGUUCGAACCAGUUGUCAUGUGUGAUAAUAUUGACAAGAAAUUCACUUUUCAAUCAAGCUAGUGAAGCUUGAAGAGGUGAUAUAAUAUGCUUUCAAAAAUUUCUAACGGCUGAAAGUCAACAACAAUUUCGUUAUUCCGAUGUUUCUUCUUUCCUGGAGUAUGUUCACGAUCGUCAGGUUAACUUAUUAUUGACUAAAUGGAUGAAUGAUUUGGAGAAGAUAUUUUACAAUAAUAUUGUUGCUGAAUAUUCUGCCAUGAUUCUUGAAGCUAAACAGGAUGAGUUCCAAAAUGUAGUAGGGAGUUAAUCUAUUGCUUAUCAAUGAUUGCUGCCCUCAAUAGUUUAUGUUGCUCGACAUGCGCUGCAUUGCAAUCCUUUUUGAAACGAGAUGUUGGAGCUGCAUAUUGAUCUUUUCAGAUUCUCAGCUACUAUAUUAUGCUAAAUUAAGUUGCUGGUUAGCUAUCACAUAGAGGCAGAUCACAAGUUAAAGGUGAUUUACAAGUAUUCAAGUUCUCAUAGAGAUGUUGCACUAAAACCUCCAGUCAUUUUUCGGUUGGCUUUUCAUGAAUACAUUAGUAGUGAAUUGCCUACUUUCAACUUAGAUUCUUUUUAGCCUUUAGUAUAUUUUGGAAUUACCAUAUAUCUGGUACUUAAAUUUUUUGCAUUCCAUUAUACAACCAUUAUUGUAGUAUCUUUUGUGAAUA